rnacentral:rRNA from 1 species
GACGAACGCUGGCGGCGUGCUUAACACAUGCAAGUCGAACGGUAAGGCCCUUCGGGGUACACGAGUGGCGAACGGGUGAGUAACACGUGGGUGAUCUGCCCUGCACUUCGGGAUAAGCCUGGGAAACUGGGUCUAAUACCGGAUAGGACCACUGCCUGCAUGGGUGGGGGUGGAAAGCUUUUGCGGUGUGGGAUGGGCCGGCGGCCUAUCAGCUUGUUGGUGGGGUGAGGGCCUACCAAGGCGACGACGGGUAGCCGGCGUGAGAGGGUGACCGGCCACACUGGGACUGAGAUACGGCCCAGACUCCUACGGGAGGCAGCAGUGGGGAAUAUUGCACAAUGGGCGCAAGCCUGAUGCAGCGACGCCGCGUGAGGGAUGACGGCCUUCGGGUUGUAAACCUCUUUCAGCACCGACGAAGCGCAAGUGACGGUAGGUGCAGAAGAAGGACCGGCCAACUACGUGCCAGCCGCCGCCGUAA